CAAGCAAUGCUUGCCACACUCAUCAGGUGAAUUUAAAAUUCACCUGAUGAGUGUGGCAAGCAUUGCUUGUC
rnacentral:miRNA from 1 species